GACGAACGCUGGCGGCGUGCUUAACACAUGCAAGUCGAACGGAAAGGCCCCUUUGGGGGUACUCGAGUGGCGAACGGGUGAGUAACACGUGAGUAACCUGCCCUUGACUUCGGGAUAACUUCAGGAAACUGGGGCUAAUACCGGAUAGGAAUCCUUGCUGCAUGGUGGGGGUUGGAAAGCUUCGGCGGUUUUGGAUGGACUCGCGGCUUAUCAGCUUGUUGGUGGGGUAGUGGCUUACCAAGGCUUUGACGGGUAGCCGGCCUGAGAGGGCGACCGGCCACAUUGGGAAUGAGAUAAGGCCCAGACUCCGACGGGAGGAAGCAGUGGGGAAUAGUGCACAAUGGGAGGAAGCCUGAUGCAGCAACGCAGCGUGCGGGAUGACGGACUUCGGGUUGGAAACCGAUUUCAGCAGGGGCGAAGCUUGUGGUGACGGUACCUGAAGAAGAAGCACCGGCUAACUACGUG
rnacentral:rRNA from 1 species